UAACGCGUGGAUAACCUGCCUUGCACUGGGGGAUAACACUUAGAAAUAGGUGCUAAUACCGCAUAAGCGCACAGAGCCGCAUGGCUCAGUGUGAAAAACUCCGGUGGUGUAAGAUGGAUCCGCGUCUGAUUAGCUGGUUGGCGGGGUAGAAGCCCACCAAGGCGACGAUCAGUAGCCGGCCUGAGAGGGUGAACGGCCACAUUGGGACUGAGACACGGCCCAAACUCCUACGGGAGGCAGCAG
rnacentral:rRNA from 1 species